GACGAACGCUGGCGGCGUGCCUAAUACAUGCAAGUUGAGCGCUGAAGGUUGGUACUUGUACCAACUGGAUGAGCAGCGAACGGGUGAGUAACGCGUGGGGAAUCUGCCUUUGAGCGGGGGACAACAUUUGGAAACGAAUGCUAAUACCGCAUAAAAACUUUAAACACAAGUUUUAAGUUUGAAAGAUGCAAUUGCAUCACUCAAAGAUGAUCCCGCGUUGUAUUAGCUAGUUGGUGAGGUAAAGGCUCACCAAGGCGAUGAUACAUAGCCGACCUGAGAGGGUGAUCGGCCACAUUGGGACUGAGACACGGCCCAAACUCCUACGGGAGGCAGCAGUAGGGAAUCUUCGGCAAUGGACGAAAGUCUGACCGAGCAACGCCGCGGGAGUGAAGAAGGUUUUCGGAUCGUAAAACUCUGUUGGUAGAGAGGAACGUUGGUGAGAGUGGAAAGCUCAUCAAGUGACGGUAACUACCCAGAAAGGGACGGCUAACUACGUG
rnacentral:rRNA from 1 species